rnacentral:tRNA from 1 species
GCUCCCUUCGUCUACCGGUUAGGACACCAGCCCUCUCAGGCUGGAAAAGCGUGGUUCGAUCCCCGCAGGGAGUACCA